AAGUCGUAACAAGGUUUCCGUAGGUGAACCUGCGGAAGGAUCAUUACAAAUCCAUCCACGUCUCACACCCUGAGACCAUGUUGAAAUGUUCCCCAGAGCCUCUGCCUGCCCCUAUUGUUAGGAUCAGCACGUAUGCUCUGGGCUGUUAAACUAGUUACCUCUGUUGCUCAAAUGUAUCUUGAUUUUCAAUCAAAUGAAAACUUGUACAACUUAUAACAAUGGAUCUCUAGGCUCUU
rnacentral:misc_RNA from 1 species